UGGGGAAUAUUGCGCAAUGGGGGAAACCCUGACGCAGCGACGCCGCGUGAGCGAAGAAGGCCUUAGGGUUGUAAAGCUCUGUUCUAUGGGACGAACGGCUGGAGCAGUAACACGGCUUCAGAAUGACGGUACCAUAGGAGGAAGCCCCGGCUAACUACGUGCCAGCAGCCGCGGUAAGACGUAGGGGGCGAGCGUUGUCCGGAAUUACUGGGCGUAAAGAGCACGUAGGCGGGUGUUUAAGUCAGGUGUGAAAUACCGGGGCUCAACUUCGGGGCUGCACCUGAAACUGGAUAUCUUGAGGGCAGGAGAGGGCAGUAGAAUUCCUGGUGUAGCGGUGAAAUGCGUAGAAAUCAGGAGGAAUACCAGUGGCGAAGGCGACUGUCUGGACUGACCCUGACGCUGAGGUGCGAAAGCGUGGGUAGCAAACAGG
rnacentral:rRNA from 2 species